rnacentral:rRNA from 1 species
GUGACAGGUGGUGCACGGUUGUCGUCAGCUCGUGUCGUGAGAUGUUGGGUUAAGUCCCGCAACGAGCGCAACCCUUAAGCUUAGUUGCCAUCAUUAAGUUGGGCACUCUAGGUUGACUGCCGGUGACAAACCGGAGGAAGGUGGGGAUGACGUCAAAUCAUCAUGCCCCUUAUGAUUUGGGCUACACACGUGCUACAAUGGAUAAUACAAAGGGCAGCGAACCCGCGAGGUCAAGCAAAUCCCAUAAAAUUAUUCUCAGUUCGGAUUGUAGUCUGCAACUCGACUACAUGAAGCUGGAAUCGCUAGUAAUCGUAGAUCAGCAUGCUACGGUGAAUACGUUCCCGGGUCUUGUACACACCGCCCGUCACACCACGAGAGUUUGUAACACCCGAAGCCGGUGGAGUAACCAUUUAUGGAGCUAGCCGUCGAAGGUGGGACAAAUGAUUGGGGUGAAGUCGUAACAAGGUAGCCGUAUCGGAAGGUGCGGCUGGAUCACCUC